rnacentral:rRNA from 1 species
GAUGAACGCUGGCGGCGUGCCUAAUACAUGCAAGUCGAACGAACAGACGAGGAGCUUGCUCCUCUCACGUUAGCGGCGGACGGGAGAGUCACACGUGUAUACCCUACCUAUCAGACUGAGAUCACUUCGGGACACCGGCGCUUAUACCAGAUAACAUGUUGCACCGCAUUGUUCAACGGUGAAAUUCGGUCUUUCUGUCACGUAUAGCUGCAUCCCAGCCUCAUUCGCUGGUUGGUAAGUUAAUGGCUUACCAAGGCUACGAUGCGUAGCCGACCUGAGGGGGUGAUCGGCCACACGGGAGCUGAGACACGGACCAGACUCCUACGGGAGGCAGCAGAAGGGAACCUGCCGCAAUGGGCGAAAGCAUGACGGAGCAAGGCGGCGUGAGUGAAGAAGGUGUUCGGAUCGUAAAACUCUGUUAUUAGGGAAGAACAAAUGUGUAAGUAAACAUGGAGGUAUUGACGGUACCUAAUCAGAAAGCCACGGCUAACUACGUG